UUAUAGCCCCGGUUGAAGUGGCAUCCUUUUUUGGUGGCAAAACGAAACGUCAAUCUUAAAAAAUACGAGCCACCAAAAAAGAUAGAACGGAAAACGGGACCGGUU
rnacentral:sRNA from 1 species